rnacentral:rRNA from 1 species
GACGAACGCUGGCGGCGUGCCUAAUACAUGCAAGUAGAACGCUGAAGAGAGGAGCUUGCUCUUCUUGGAUGAGUUGCGAACGGGUGAGUAACGCGUAGGUAACCUGCCUUGUAGCGGGGGAUAACUAUUGGAAACGAUAGCUAAUACCGCAUAACAAUGGAUGACACAUGUCAUUUAUUUGAAAGGGGCAAUUGCUCCACUACAAGAUGGACCUGCGUUGUAUUAGCUAGUAGGUGAAGUAAUGGCUCACCUAGGCGACGAUACAUAGCCGACCUGAGAGGGUGAUCGGCCACACUGGGACUGAGACACGGCCCAGACUCCUACGGGAGGCAGCAGUAGGGAAUCUUCGGCAAUGGGGGCAACCCUGACCGAGCAACGCCGCGUGAGGGAAGAAGGUUUUCGGAUCGUAAAGCUCUGUUGUAAGUCAAGAACGGGUGUGAGAGUGGAAAGUUCACACUGUGACGGUAGCUUACCAGAAAGGGACGGCUAACUACGUG